rnacentral:rRNA from 1 species
UACGUAGGUCCCGAACGUUGCGCGAAUUUACUGGGCGUAAAGGAUCCGUAGGCGGGUUAGCAAGUGGUUGGUGAAAUUUUACGGCUCAACCGUGAAACUGCCUUCCAAACUGCUAAACUUGAGGCAGGGAGAGGUCGGCGGAAUUCCCGGUGUAACGGUGAAAUGAGUAGAUAUCGAGAGGAACACCAGUGGCGAAGGCGGCCGACUGGAACUGUCCUGACGCUGAGGGACGAAAGCUAGGGUAGCUAACCGG